UUGAGUUUGAUGAUGGCUCUGAAUGAACGCUGUCCAAGUGCUUGACACAUGCUAAUCGUACGUCUAAUUUAAUUUAUAAUUUUUAUCUUUUUUGGGCUAUAUAAGUUAUAGCGCAAUAAAAGAGACAAAUACAAUUCAUUUUAUUAGAAGUGGUGUACAGGUGAGUAUAUAACAUUUUGGCUGCCUUAGAGUUAGGUUAAAUGCCUUAUACUUCGCAAGAUAAAGGAGAGAGGUCUCCGCUUUAAGAGGACAAUAAAUGUUUCGGAUAGGUAGUAGUUAAAGUAAUGGUUUAACUAGCCAAAAAUUCCGUAGUCGAGGCUGAGAGGUCGAUCGAUCACAUUGGGUCUGAAAAAACCCCAAUACGUAUAGUACAGCAGUGGGGAAUAUUGGUCAAUAGCCUAACGGCUGAACCAGCAACUUGGGGGAAUGUAUAGCUGCGUAAUUUCAGCUAGUUAUAUUUGGCUGUUUAAGAUAUCUUAAAGAAUUCUUCUGAUUAUUUAAGAUGUCUUAUUCAUUUUGAUUUUUUCCCGAGUGCUUUAAUCAAUUAAUUUAUCACUAAUCGCAAGAUUGUUAUAUGCGCUUUUUUUUACGUUUCUUUUGGCAUUACCAAAGCACCGAAAUUAAAGCGUUAUAACGAACAGUAUCUGUUCGGUGGACAAUAUAAUAUCGAUUUUAUCGAGUAAAGUUCUAGAUAUAAUACGGAUUAUGACUAUUUUAUAUCUAUAUGUCUUGACCAAAUUACGUGCCAGCAGUCGCGGUAAUACGUAGAAGACUAGUGUUAUUCAUCUUUAGUAGGUUUAAAGGGUACCUAGACGGUAUGAUUAGUCUUAAAUAGGAUACGGUUAUACUAGAGUUAUAUAUGAGAAGGGGAGUAUUUAUGGAGUAGAGUUGAAAUUCUUUGAUACCAUGAGGACUGAUAACGGCGAAAGCAACCUUUUAUCUAAUAACUGACGUUGAGGGACGAAGGCUCGGGUAACGAACAGGAUUAGAUACCCUAGUAGUCCAAGCAGAGAAUGAUGAAUGCCAUAGAUUAGAUCUUAAUUUAGUCUAUAAAUGAAAGUGUAAGCAUUUCACCUCAAGAGUAAUGUGGCAACGCAGGAACUGAAAUCAUUAGACCGUUUCUGAAACCAGUAGUGAAGUAUGUUAUUUAAUUCGUAGGUACGCGAAAAACCUUACCACAACUUGAAUAUUAUCUUUUUAGGCUUACGUCUCCAAAAAGCGAAGCAAUAAGAAUAUUAUUCUUGCUUUGCUUACUUCGCCUUAUUUUUAAAGAAGUAAGCAAACCAUGUAAUAUUAUUUUUAAAGAUAUUACAAGCGUUGCACGGCUGUCUUCAGUUAAUGUCGUGAGAUAUUGGUUAAUUCCAUUAAAUUAACGGAAACCCUUGCUUUAUUUGUGAUAUUUUACAGGUAAAUUCACCCAAGCGAAUUUAUCUAGUGAAAAUUGAAAUAAAGCAGUUCACCUUUACAUGGGAAAGAUAAUAGGGACCAAGACAAGUCAUCAUGGCCUAAAUGUUGUGGGCGAUAGACGUGCCACAUAUUCCUAUACAAAGUGAUGCAAUAAUGUGAAUUGGAGCUAAUCUAAUAAAAUAGGAUAUAACAAGGAUUGUAGUCUGAAAUUCGACUACAUGAAUAAGGAAUUACUAGUAAUCGUGAAUCACCACGUCACGGUGAAUUUAAUCUCAGAUAGGUACUAACUACUCGUCAGGCGCCGAAAGAAGUGUGUGCAAUAAGUUUGGUCUUUCUUAUAUUUUCAUUCUAGAUAACCACUUCUAGUUACUUAUAUGGAAGAUUUUCGUAUGCGUGACUUUGAUUGGUGUUAAGUCGAAAUACGGUUCAUGUAGGGGAACUUGCAUGGGAUUGAUUAAUGUUAACAA
rnacentral:rRNA from 1 species